rnacentral:rRNA from 1 species
UACGUAGGGGGCUAGCGUUGUCCGGAUUUAUUGGGCGUAAAGAGCGUGUAGGCGGCCAGGUAGGUCUGCUGUGAAAACUCGAGGCUCAACCUCGAGACGUCGGCGGAAACCAUCUGGCUAGAGUCCGGAAGAGGAGAGUGGAAUUCCUGGUGUAGCGGUGAAAUGCGCAGAUAUCAGGAAGAACACCCGUGGCGAAGGCGGCUCUCUGGGCCGUUCCUGACGCUGAGACGCGAAAGCUAGGGGAGCGAACAGG